AACGAACGUUAGCGGCGCGCCUAACACAUGCAAGUCGCACGAGAAAGGGCUUCGGCCCCGGUAAAGUGGCGCACGGGUGAGUAACACGUGGGUAACCUUCCCCCGAGCGGGGAAUAACAUUCCGAAAGGAGUGCUAAUACCGCAUAAGACCACGGCUUCGAAAGGAGCUGAGGUAAAAGCUGGCCUCUUCAUGAAAGCUAGCAAUCGAGGAUGGGCCCGCGGCCCAUCAGCCUGUUGGUAGGGUAACGGCCUACCAAGGCUAAGACGGGUAACUGGUAUGAGGGGAUGAUCAGUCACAAUGGAACUGAGACACGGUCCAGACUCCUACGGGAGGCAGCAGUGGGGAAUCUUGCGCAAUGGACGAAAGUCUGACGCAGCGACGCCGCGUGGGUGAUGAAGGCCUUCGGGUUGUAAAGCCCUGUGGGGAGAGACGAAUAAGUCUUGGCUAAUAUCCAAGAUGAUGACGGUAUCUCCUUAGCAAGCACCGGCUAACUCUGUGCCAGCCGCCGCCGUAACAC
rnacentral:rRNA from 1 species